rnacentral:rRNA from 1 species
GGGUUGUGAGGUUAAGCGACUAAGCGUACACGGUGGAUGCCCUGGCAGUCAGAGGCGAUGAAGGACGUGCUAAUCUGCGAUAAGCGUCGGUAAGGUGAUAUGAACCGUUAUAACCGGCGAUUUCCGAAUGGGGAAACCCAGUGUGUUUCGACACACUAUCAUUAACUGAAUCCAUAGGUUAAUGAGGCGAACCGGGGGAACUGAAACAUCUAAGUACCCCGAGGAAAAGAAAUCAACCGAGAUUCCCCCAGUAGCGGCGAGCGAACGGGGAGCAGCCCAGAGCCUGAAUCAGUGUGUGUGUUAGUGGAAGCGUCUGGAAAGGCGCGCGAUACAGGGUGACAGCCCCGUACACAAAAAUGCACAUGCUGUGAGCUCGAUGAGUAGGGCGGGACACGUGGUAUCCUGUCUGAAUAUGGGGGGACCAUCCUCCAAGGCUAAAUACUCCUGACUGACCGAUAGUGAACCAGUACCGUGAGGGAAAGGCGAAAAGAACCCCGGCGAGGGGAGUGAAAAAGAACCUGAAACCGUGUACGUACAAGCAGUGGGAGCACGCUUCGGCGUGUGACUGCGUACCUUUUGUAUAAUGGGUCAGCGACUUAUAUUCUGUAGCAAGGUUAACCGAAUAGGGGAGCCGAAGGGAAACCGAGUCUUAACUGGGCGUUAAGUUGCAGGGUAUAGACCCGAAACCCGGUGAUCUAGCCAUGGGCAGGUUGAAGGUUGGGUAACACUAACUGGAGGACCGAACCGACUAAUGUUGAAAAAUUAGCGGAUGACUUGUGGCUGGGGGUGAAAGGCCAAUCAAACCGGGAGAUAGCUGGUUCUCCCCGAAAGCUAUUUAGGUAGCGCCUCGUGAAUUCAUCUCCGGGGGUAGAGCACUGUUUCGGCAAGGGGGUCAUCCCGACUUACCAACCCGAUGCAAACUGCGAAUACCGGAGAAUGUUAUCACGGGAGACACACGGCGGGUGCUAACGUCCGUCGUGAAGAGGGAAACAACCCAGACCGCCAGCUAAGGUCCCAAAGUCAUGGUUAAGUGGGAAACGAUGUGGGAAGGCCCAGACAGCCAGGAUGUUGGCUUAGAAGCAGCCAUCAUUUAAAGAAAGCGUAAUAGCUCACUGGUCGAGUCGGCCUGCGCGGAAGAUGUAACGGGGCUAAACCAUGCACCGAAGCUGCGGCAGCGACGCUUAUGCGUUGUUGGGUAGGGGAGCGUUCUGUAAGCCUGUGAAGGUGUGCUGUGAGGCAUGCUGGAGGUAUCAGAAGUGCGAAUGCUGACAUAAGUAACGAUAAAGCGGGUGAAAAGCCCGCUCGCCGGAAGACCAAGGGUUCCUGUCCAACGUUAAUCGGGGCAGGGUGAGUCGACCCCUAAGGCGAGGCCGAAAGGCGUAGUCGAUGGGAAACAGGUUAAUAUUCCUGUACUUGGUGUUACUGCGAAGGGGGGACGGAGAAGGCUAUGUUGGCCGGGCGACGGUUGUCCCGGUUUAAGCGUGUAGGCUGGUUUUCCAGGCAAAUCCGGAAAAUCAAGGCUGAGGCGUGAUGACGAAGCACUACGGUGCUGAAGCAACAAAUGCCCUGCUUCCAGGAAAAGCCUCUAAGCAUCAGGUAACAUCAAAUCGUACCCCAAACCGACACAGGUGGUCAGGUAGAGAAUACCAAGGCGCUUGAGAGAACUCGGGUGAAGGAACUAGGCAAAAUGGUGCCGUAACUUCGGGAGAAGGCACGCUGAUAUGUAGGUGAAGUCCCUUGCGGAUGGAGCUGAAAUCAGUCGAAGAUACCAGCUGGCUGCAACUGUUUAUUAAAAACACAGCACUGUGCAAACACGAAAGUGGACGUAUACGGUGUGACGCCUGCCCGGUGCCGGAAGGUUAAUUGAUGGGGUCAGCGCAAGCGAAGCUCUUGAUCGAAGCCCCGGUAAACGGCGGCCGUAACUAUAACGGUCCUAAGGUAGCGAAAUUCCUUGUCGGGUAAGUUCCGACCUGCACGAAUGGCGUAAUGAUGGCCAGGCUGUCUCCACCCGAGACUCAGUGAAAUUGAACUCGCUGUGAAGAUGCAGUGUACCCGCGGCAAGACGGAAAGACCCCGUGAACCUUUACUAUAGCUUGACACUGAACAUUGAGCCUUGAUGUGUAGGAUAGGUGGGAGGCUUUGAAGUGUGGACGCCAGUCUGCAUGGAGCCGACCUUGAAAUACCACCCUUUAAUGUUUGAUGUUCUAACGUUGACCCGUAAUCCGGGUUGCGGACAGUGUCUGGUGGGUAGUUUGACUGGGGCGGUCUCCUCCUAAAGAGUAACGGAGGAGCACGAAGGUUGGCUAAUCCUGGUCGGACAUCAGGAGGUUAGUGCAAUGGCAUAAGCCAGCUUGACUGCGAGCGUGACGGCGCGAGCAGGUGCGAAAGCAGGUCAUAGUGAUCCGGUGGUUCUGAAUGGAAGGGCCAUCGCUCAACGGAUAAAAGGUACUCCGGGGAUAACAGGCUGAUACCGCCCAAGAGUUCAUAUCGACGGCGGUGUUUGGCACCUCGAUGUCGGCUCAUCACAUCCUGGGGCUGAAGUAGGUCCCAAGGGUAUGGCUGUUCGCCAUUUAAAGUGGUACGCGAGCUGGGUUUAGAACGUCGUGAGACAGUUCGGUCCCUAUCUGCCGUGGGCGCUGGAGAACUGAGGGGGGCUGCUCCUAGUACGAGAGGACCGGAGUGGACGCAUCACUGGUGUUCGGGUUGUCAUGCCAAUGGCACUGCCCGGUAGCUAAAUGCGGAAGAGAUAAGUGCUGAAAGCAUCUAAGCACGAAACUUGCCCCGAGAUGAGUUCUCCCUGACCCUUUAAGGGUCCUGAAGGAACGUUGAAGACGACGACGUUGAUAGGCCGGGUGUGUAAGCGCAGCGAUGCGUUGAGCUAACCGGUACUAAUGAACCGUGAGGCUUAACCUUACAACGCCGAAGCUGUU